GGUGGCCACUGGAUUAGGCCGUCCUGAAACACCACCUCCUUUAACAGUACAGCUGACAUCCCAAAGACCUAAUGUCUUUGUUUCAGAAAAGGGUCGCAACAAGCCAGCACGGUGAUAAGCAUCGGGAAAUGGACAUCAAAUUGUCUAUCCAUGCUCAUGCCGGGUUGAAUUCAGCCCCUUGCCUGUAUAAAGCAAAGGAAAACGCAGCCCAAAAAUUCUAUUGAAAUUAUAUGUAAAUAAUUGGCUGAAUUUGAU
rnacentral:misc_RNA from 1 species